AGGAUCAUUAUUGAAAUAAACUUGAUAAGUUGCUGCUGGUUCUCUAGGGAACAAUGUGCACACUUGUCAUCUUUGUAUCUUCACCUGUGCACCUUUUGUAGACCUGAUUAUCUCUCUGAAUGCUUUAUAGCACUCAGGAUUGAGGAUUGACUUCUUGUCUCUUCUUACAUUUUCAGGUCUAUGUUUCUUCAUAUACCCCAAUGUAUGUUUAUAGAAUGUAAUUAAUGGGCCUUUGUGCCUAUAAACCUUUACAACUUUCAGCAACGGAUCUCUUGGCUCUCGCAUCGAUGAAGAACGCAGCGAAAUGCGAUAAGUAAUGUGAAUUGCAGAAUUCAGUGAAUCAUCGAAUCUUUGAACGCACCUUGCGCUCCUUGGUAUUCCGAGGAGCAUGCCUGUUUGAGUGUCAUUAAUAUUAUCAACCUUUUGGGUUGGAUUUGGGUUUGCUGGCCUCUAUCAGGUCAGCUCCCCUUAAAUGCAUUAGCAGACAACAUUUUGCCAAAUGUUCAUUGGUGUGAUAAUUAUCUACGCUAUUGACAUGAAGCAAAGGUUCAGCUUCUAACUGUCCAUUGACUUGGACAACUUUAUUAAUGUGACCUCAAAUCAGGUAGGACUACCCGCUGAACUUAA
rnacentral:rRNA from 2 species